rnacentral:rRNA from 1 species
AUACGUAGGGGGCGAGCGUUGUCCGGAAUGAUUGGGCGUAAAGGGCGCGUAGGCGGCCCGGUAAGUCUGGAGUGAAAGUCCUGUUUUUAAGAUGGGAAUUGCUUUGGAUACUGUCGGGCUUGAGUGCAGGAGAGGUAAGUGGAAUUCCCAGUGUAGCGGUGAAAUGCGUAGAGAUUGGGAGGAACACCAGUGGCGAAGGCGACUUACUGGACUGUAACUGACGCUGAGGCGCGAAAGUGUGGGGAGCAAACAGGAUUAGAUACCCUGGUAGUCCACACUGUAAACGAUGAAUGCUAGGUGUAAGAGGUAUCGACCCCUUUUGUGCCGGAGUCAACACAAUAAGCAUUCCGCCUGGGGAGUACGGCCGCAAGGUUGAAACUCAAAUGAAUUGGCGGGG